UGGUGGGGUGACUUGUCUGCUUAAUUGCGAUAACGAACGAGACCUUAACCUGCUAAAUAGCCCGCAUUGCUCCGGCUGUGCGCUGGCUUCUUAGAGGGACUUUCGGCUCAAGCCGAAGGAAGUUUGAGGCAAUAACA
rnacentral:rRNA from 1 species